rnacentral:rRNA from 1 species
CAGACUCCUACGGGAGGCAGCAGUGAGGAAUAUUGGUCAAUGGACGAGAGUCUGAACCAGCCAAGUAGCGUGCAGGAUGACGGCCCUAUGGGUUAGUAAACUGCUUUUAUAAGGGAAUAAAGUGAGAGUCGUGACUCUUUUUGCAUGUACCUUAUGAAUAAGGACCGGCUAAUUCCGUGC